UGGAAUACCCAUCCACGACCCAUUUUCAAUGCCCUGGCUGAGGGAAGGAGGUUUUCACCCAAGAUUUGACGGUACAUGGCCCCGUCCAUCGUCCCUUUGAUGCGGUGAAGUUGUCCUGUCCCCUUAGCAGAAAAACACCCCCAAAGCAUAAUGUUUCCACCUCCAUGUUUGACGGUGGGGAUGGUGUUCUUGGGGUCAUAGGCAGCAUUCCUCCUCCUCCAAACACAGGAGUUGAGUUGAUGCCAAAGAGCUCCAUUUUGGUCUCAUCUGACCACAACACUUUCACCCAGUUGUCCUCUGAAUCAUUGACAAACUUCAGACGGGCAUGUAUAUGUGCUUUCUUGAGCAGAGGGAUCUUGCGGGCGCUGCAGGAUUUCAGUCCUUUACGGCGUACUGUGUUACCAACUGUUUUCUUGGUGUCUAUGGUCCCAGUUGCCUUGAGAUAAUUGACAAGAUUCUCCCGUGUAUUUCUGGGCGGAUUCCUCACCGUUCUCAUGAUCAUUGCAACUCCACGAGCAAUUGGAGAGUACAGCCAUGUCUUUAGCUGCAUGCAGUGAGGCAUGGGGCGUCUGCGAGAAUGCCGGCAAUUCACGGAGCAAGACCAGAGGUCGAGCCAUGCUGCCCACGUCUAGAGAGGUGGAGGUGAAUGUGAGUGUGCGCCACAUGUACCUGUACAGCCGCGAGGUGCGUGGGGUGGUGGCACGUCUCCGCGCCGAGUGUGGGUCACUGUCCGUGCACGCAGUUGCCUUGGCCCACACUCAAGGUGAUCUGAACAAGGCCUUGGGACACGUUCGUAAUGAGAAACAGGCAAAUGUGCAAGCUUCUAGCAUGCGAUCGCGACGACCUACACGUGAGGUGUGAUGGGCUGCUGCUGCUGCACCUGUUGACGUUGAUGUCGGGGCAGGCAGAGUCCUCGCUCCGGGUCCCGGUGGCGUUGCUCCGGGGGAACGUGCAGAAGAAGGCGUUGGCCAGGAGGCAGGCGGCCUGCUCCUGAGACAUCGUCAGCAUCAAGCCGGUGUCCCGGCGGAGCAGCGGCAGGGGCUGGGGACACGUGCGGUGCACAGGGCGCAGCGACGUCACACGCGGCAACGGGUGGCACGGGGUUGCAGAGGAGCAACGGCGCAAUGGUAACACUGAUGCAGAGCACUGAGCCUGCAGCACUGGGAUGUUGGGGUCUGGAUCAAGGAGUUCUGAAAUGCACGUAAACCAGAUGAUUGUUGUACACGUGAGGUUAAUGCUGCAGCCCUGUAAUUACUUGCUCAUGCAACUGCUGGUGAAAGAACCUCCACUAGAGGGAGGUCUAGAGUGCCGAUCCUGUGGGUAUGUUUUGGCCAACUUUUCCACACUGACCAUUCGUCUUGAAAGAGGUGGGAGUACUCGCCAUUUAGCCCACUGCACGCGACCCACCGAUGGACUGUGGGUGGACAAAACAGGGAAUUGUAAGAAUCCUGGUCAAUGUUUUCAAGGCCAGGCUGGGAGAUCGAACCGCGACAUUUGAAGUCAAUCGUGACAACCAUCCCACAGUCAUGGCAGCAGCCCUUUUGCAGAAAUAAAAUAAAAUAUUGGAGAGGGCUUCACACAAGAAACAAGAAGAUUUAGUGGUUUGGACGUGGCUCUCCAAUGAGUACAGAUAGGGUACCACAAGUAGCGGUGCAUACUCGGGCGCAAAGAAAUAGAAGCAGAGACAAAGAAUGAGAUAGAUCGAUGCAAUAAAGAAUUGGCAGUGGUGCACCAAGCACGACCCCUUGCUGAGCGCUGCAGCAGCAGCCCCCCCCCCACCCCCGGACCCCUCCCCCACCCUCCACUUCUCACCCUGACGCCACACAACCCGUGGGUAGGCGAUGCCCUCUGGUGGACAAGGCGCGGUACAGGCGGCAGCACGAGACGCCAGCAGCGUUGCGCUGCCAGGGUUACUCACCCGUACACCUCCGUACACUUACACACACCUCUAUACACCUCUAUACACUCACACACACCUACACACUUACAAAGACAAAAAUCCCCCGUAUAGCCUUAACAGACUGUAGAGGCAAGUGCUGUUAGCGAGCACCUAUGAAGGCCGGAACGGUACACGAGGGGGUGGGUGGCCAGCACCACGCCCGACCGCCUUUGUCUCCCCAGUGGCGAUGUUUACACACCGCACCAGGUACUCAUUUAAGGCUGAGUCGACCUAGGGGAGGCCCAGGACCGGUUCAGAUAAUCGUCACUGGUGUUAGCCGUGAGUGGGAAUCGAACCCGGGUCGCCAGGUUCAUAGCGCAGCGCGCUAACUGCUACACUACCGCUCCCCACACACCUACACGCACACACCUCUACACACGUACACACCUACACACACACACCUAUACAACAACAACCGCCAUUCGCCACUAAGUGGCGGUGACGUCACCACGACGCUUGUGCCAGGCCAAGUGCACCUUGAGGCCACGUGAAGUGUCGAACGCCCGCUGGCAGGAGGUCACGGGGCAGGCCCAGCAGGUGCCACGGGUCGACUGACCGAGAUGACCGAGAUGACUGGCUGAUGCACCACCUGUGGCCCCCUACCGUACCAACUUGCUGUGCUUUAGCCACCCGGCGCUCCGCUCGUUGUUGUGAACGUCGCUCCUCAGCCCUCCGUUGUUGUUGGAGGGCGACUGCCUCCAACUGCCCAGUAGCGUCCUUCACGAGCCUCCUCCACUGAGGCCGAUCUUGACACUGCUGGUACCAGUCAUCGGCAAGUCCACUCAGCUCCACGUCCUCCUGUACCACAUCACUCCAUCUCUUCUCUAGCCCGCGCCGCGCCCGUUUAGCCCCCUCGAUUUUAGGCAUGCGGUAGCUGGGCAUGCGUGCUACAUGACCCAGCCAACGCAGCCUUGCCUGCCGGAGGAGCUCACCGAUGGGACUUUGCCCAGAUCUUUCAAGGAUUUGUGAGCUCCUUACACAAUCCAGCCUGGUUAAACCCAGGAUGGAUCGUAGGCAGGCCAGCCUAAAUGUUUCCAACCGACGAAGUUGCUCCAUUAGGGGGGUCCACGUUUCGCAAGCGUAGAGUAGGGAGGGAAUGACCGUGGCCGAGAAGACCUGAAGCUUCGUGCGGAGGUAGCUUCCACACAGCGUUACGCAACCGAUGAAAAGAUAAUGCCGCUCGACUGAUUCGGAGUGAGACCUCUGCUGAUAAACUGGAGCCGGUCAUAAGCACACUGCCCAGGUAUGGGAAACUCUCCACUCUCUCCACAACUGCCCCAUCACCGAUUGGGAGUUGUGGGGGUGGAGUGUCUGAUGGUACAAAAUACCCAGGCAGGUGCUUAGUUUUGGUGGGGCUGAUGGUAAGGCCCCACCUCUUAGUGGCACGCUCCAGUUUCAGCAGCAGCGUCUCCAACUCCUCUUCUGAAUGAGCAGCUAUUACCAAAUCAUCGGCAUACAUAACGUGGUCGAUCAGCCUCCCAUUAUAUCUGUACCAAAUGGAAAUUCCCCCGGUACAGCUAUUGAAGGCUUCACGAACUACGCAGUCGAAAUAGAUGUUAAAUAAUGUGGGAGCCUGAGGACAUCCCUGUCGCACCACAAGGUGUACAGGGGAAGGCUCUGAUUCCCGGCCACGUAGUUUUACCCGGGCCCGCUCACCAUCAUGAAGGUCCUUAAUGAUCGUGAGCAGAGGGUCAGGGACUCCGAAAGCACGAAGAACAACCCAGAGCCCAGGCCUACUGAUGGUAUCAUAGGCCUUGACCAGGUCAAUAAAGCAGAGAUGAAGGUCUUGUUGGAAUUCCCUACACCUCUGCUGUAGCAGACAGACAGAAAAUAUGGCAUCUGUACAGGACCGCCCUUUCCUGAAACCGCAUUGGGGUUCUGCAAGCCUCUCCUCAGCGUGCCGAGCAAGGCAUCCUUCCAAUCCUGCGGUACCCGUCCAGCGGUCCAGACUGUUGUUAUGAUGUCAUAUAGGGCAGUCUGUGCACAAGCGCCACCCUCCCUCAGCAUUUCGCUUGGGAGAUCAUCUCUGCCCGGUGCCUUUCCUGGUCUCAGACUCCGGAUCGCCUUCAGUACUUCCUCAACAGAUGGCACCUCAGCCAGCCACUCACAGGGGGUGACCUCCAAUAUUUGAGGCACCGCAGCCUCAGCAGGGUUAUCCCCACUUUGUGCCAUGAUGUUUUCCUGGCUGAGAGAUUUUCCCUCCCCCAGGACCUCACACACACCUAUAUACACUUACACACACACACCUCUAUACACUCACACACACCUACACACACACACUUCUAUACACUCACACACACCUACACACACACCUCUAGACACUUACACACACCUACACACACACCUUUAUACACACACCUCUAUACACUCACACACACCUA